rnacentral:rRNA from 1 species
CAGUAGCCACGGUAAUACGAAGGGGGCUAGCGUUGCUCGGAAUCACUGGGCGUAAAGGGUGCGUAGGCGGGUCUUUAAGUCAGGGGUGAAAUCCUGGAGCUCAACUCCAGAACUGCCUUUGAUACUGAGGAUCUUGAGUUCGGGAGAGGUGAGUGGAACUGCGAGUGUAGAGGUGAAAUUCGUAGAUAUUCGCAAGAACACCAGUGGCGAAGGCGGCUCACUGGCCCGAUACUGACGCUGAGGCACGAAAGCGUGGGGAGCAAACAGGAUUAGAGACCCGCGUAGUCCCUGUCUCUUAUAC